rnacentral:rRNA from 1 species
GUAUUGCCUCAGUAGCGGCGAGUGAAGCGGCAAGAGCUCAGAUUUGAAAUCGUGCUUUGCGGCACGAGUUGUAGAUUGCAGGUUGGAGUCUGUGUGGAAGGCGGUGUCCAAGUCCCUUGGAACAGGGCGCCCAGGAGGGUGAGAGCCCCGUGGGAUGCCGGCGGAAGCAGUGAGGCCCUUCUGACGAGUCGAGUUGUUUGGGAAUA